rnacentral:tRNA from 1 species
GUCAGGAUGGCCGAGUGGUCUAAGGCGCCAGAUUUAAGCUCUGGUCCUCGCAAGAGGUCGUGGGUUCGAACCCCACUCCUGACA